GGGAGUAUAGCUCAACAGGCAGAGCAGACGGCUCUUAACCGUAGGGUUGCAGGUUCGACCCCUGCUACUCCCA
rnacentral:tRNA from 2 species